GCAAUGGCCCUCCAGAAUUGCCUAUAUCAACAUAGCGAGAAAGAUUGAUUUUCAUAAAACUGAAUGGGAUGACAAAAACUGAUUAAUAUGUUUGUGAAUUACCUUGUAAUUUCUCCCCUAUUAUAUGGUCUUGUAAUUAUCCGUUUUCUAUUGGAAUAAUGUUAUUAUUUAACAUAUUUGCAAGGUGAGAGAAACCUAAUCCUAAACUAAAGAUCAAUACUUCAGAAACCUAUUCAUGAAGACAUCUCUACGGCAAUAAAGAGAGGUAAACCGAUAAACCUCCUAAUGAUUCUAUUAUGUGAUUAACCUAGAUGUUUAAAGAUCUUAGGGUUCAUGUAAAAUUAACUUACAUACCUGAGUUAAUAUCAGCAUCGGUU